CCUGACAUGAUUUGAAUGAUUGAUUCCCCAUUGGUUGGGGAAGGGGGUAUCUCCAGCUUCUGUAUGUAGUGUUAAAAAAGGUUAGUGUAGGUUUGUCAAACUUAACCCCAUAUUUGGUCUACUUAGUCUGGUAGAGAGUUAAGGGAGUUGUAGUUUAACAAACCUGCUCCAACCUCGCUUUUCUUUACUCUUUUUGAAGCAGGCAG